rfam:Spiroplasma mirum ATCC 29335 strain SMCA, complete genome.
AAUAUAAAAAAUAUUAAGACUUAUAUAUGCUAGUAAUAUGGACUAGCGUUUCUACGUCUUUCCGUAAAAGAGACACUAUGAGUUGAUGAUUAUUUUAU